AACCCAUGCUAAGGACAUUUUCGAAGAAGAUACAUGAACCUAUCCCAUGUCUCAAAAAGAGACUCAAAUUCUUUUUGCACAAAAGAAGAUAUACCAUUCCUAAGCUU